CUUCGGCCCGAGUUGUAAUUUGCAGAGGAUGUUUAUGGUGCGGUACCUUCCGAGUUCCCUGGAACGGGACGCCACAGAGGGUGAGAGCCCCGUCUGGUUGGAUACCAAACCUGUGUUAAACUCCUUCAACGAGUCGAGUAGUUUGGGAAUGCUGCUCUAAAUGGGAGGUAAAUCUCUUCUAAAGCUAAAUACCGGCCAGAGACCGAUAGCGCACAAGUAGAGUGAUCGAAAGAUGAAAAGCACCUUGAAAAGGGGGUUAAACAGUACGUGAAAUUGUUAAAAGGGAAGCGUUUAUGACCAGACUUGUGUCGUGUGGCUCAUCCGAGGUUCUCCCCGGUGCACUCCACACGGCUCAGGCCAACAUCGGUUCUCGUUGGGGGAUAAGAACAGUAGGAACGUGGCCCUCUUCGGAGGGUGUUAUAGCCUGCUGUACGAUACCCUGAUGGGGACCGAGGACCGCGCUUCGGCUAGGAUGUUGGCGUAAUGGUCAUUAGCGACCCGUCUUGAAACACGGACCAAGGAGUCGUCCAUUAGAGCGAGCGUUUGGGUGUAAAACCCGCACGCGUAAUGAAAGUGAAAUUAGGUGAGAGCUUCGGCGCAUCAUCGACCGAUCCUGAAGUUUACGGAUGGAUUUGAGUAAGAGUUUUAACGGACGGACCCGAAAGACAGUGAACUAUGCUUGAAUAGGGUGAAGCCAGAGGAAACUCUGGUGGAGGCUCGCAGCGGUUCUGACGUGCAAAUCGAUCGUCAAAUUUGAGCAUGGGGGCGAAAGACUAAUCGAACUGUCUAG
rnacentral:rRNA from 1 species